rnacentral:rRNA from 1 species
AUGGACGAAAGUCUGAUGGAGCGACACAGCGUGCAGGAUGAAGGCCCUAUGGGUUGUAAACUGCUGUGGUUAGGGAAGAAAAAGUAGCAUAGGAAAUGAUGCUACCUUGACGGUACCUGAUUAGAAAGCAACGGCUAACUAUGUGCCAGCAGCCGCGGUAAUACAUAGGUUGCAAGCGUUAUCCGAAAUUAUUGGGCGUAAAGCGUCUGUAGGUUGUUUGUUAAGUCUGGCGUUAAAUUUUGGGGCUCAACCCCAAAACGCGUUGGAUACUGGCAGACUAGAGUUAUGUAGAGGUUAGCGGAAUUCCUUGUGAAGCGGUGAAAUGCGUAGAUAUAAGGAAGAACAUCAAUAUGGCGAAGGCAGCUAACUGGGCAUACACUGACACUGAGAGACGAAAGCGUGGGGAGCAAACAGGAUUAGAUACCCUGGUAGUCCACGCCCUAAACGAUGAUCAUUAGUUGAUGGGGAACUCAUCGACGCAGCUAACGCAUUAAAUGAUCCGCCUGAGUAGUACGUUCGCAAGAAUAAAACUUAAAGGAAUUGACGGGGAUCCGCACAAG